GUGGGGAAUAUUGGACAAUGGGCGCAAGCCUGAUCCAGCCAUGCCGCGUGAGUGAUGAAGGCCUUAGGGUUGUAAAGCUCUUUCACCGAUGAAGAUAAUGACGGUAGUCGGAGAAGAAGCCCCGGCUAACUUCGUGCCAGCAGCCGCGGUAAUACGAAGGGGGCUAGCGUUGUUCGGAUUUACUGGGCGUAAAGCGCACGUAGGCGGAUCGUUAAGUCGGGGGUGAAAUCCUGGAGCUCAACUCCAGAACUGCCUUCGAUACUGGCGAUCUUGAGUCCGGAAGAGGUGAGUGGAACUCCUAGUGUAGAGGUGGAAUUCGUAGAUAUUAGGAAGAACACCAGUGGCGAAGGCGGCUCACUGGUCCGGUACUGACGCUGAGGUGCGAAAGCGUGGGGAGCAAACAGGAUUAGAUACCCGGGUAGUCC
rnacentral:rRNA from 1 species